rnacentral:tRNA from 1 species
GGAGGAACUGUGGCUCACUGGUAGAACAUCUGCUUGUCAUGAAUAAUGCCCCAGUUUCAAUUCCUGGCUUCUCCA